GAAAAGAAAAGUAGGGGUUAGUGGACAAAAUGUUUAAAAGCAAAAAGUGGAUAAAAUCAGAGGAUUCCAAAUAUCAGGCUAUUUUUUUUUCAAUAAACCAAGAGGAGCGAUCAUCCUUAAAGAUGCGUCAAUUCACAAAUAAACUCCUCUGCAUUUGACAUGUUUGCAUAUUUAUCUCCAACGCAAUGGCUUUUCUUGUGGAAAAAUUUGUGGCAUAUCUGGCA
rnacentral:lncRNA from 1 species